AUAAAGAUGGCAGAUAAAGUGCAUUAAGUUUAAGCCUUAAAUAUAAAGAUGAAACUUCUUUUCUUUAUA
rnacentral:tRNA from 1 species